AUUGAACGCUGGCGGCAUGCCUAACACAUGCAAGUCGAACGGCAGCACGGCAGUAGCAAUACUGUGGGUGGCGAGUGGCGGACGGGUGAGGAAUACGUCGGAAUCUGCCCAGUCGUGGGGGAUAACUAGCCGAAAGGUUAGCUAAUACCGCAUACGACCGAGAGGUGAAAGCGGGGGACCGCAAGGCCUCGCGCGAUUGGAUGAGCCGACGUCGGAUUAGCUAGUUGGUGGGGUAAAGGCCCACCAAGGCGACGAUCCGUAGCUGGUCUGAGAGGAUGAUCAGCCACACUGGAACUGAGACACGGUCCAGACUCCUACGGGAGGCAGCAGUGGGGAAUAUUGGACAAUGGGCGCAAGCCUGAUCCAGCAAUGCCGCGUGUGUGAGAAGGCCUCGGUGUAAG
rnacentral:rRNA from 1 species